rnacentral:lncRNA from 1 species
GUCUUCCACAAUGGGUGAACUAAUUUACACUCCCAACAGUGUAAAACAGUGUGCACCCGGCCACAGAGAAGUGGGUGACUUAGGAGUAUCCUCUCCGCUUCUGACCCUUAGUUUCGUCUGUGCACAACUCGCUCAAAAUGGGCAACUCACUAAGCGUAUUUUGUUCCUGGUUCCGCCGCAGGUCCUGGCCACGCCAUCGGCAACCUA